GAGAGCUGCACUGAGAACAUCAGGCUGUGCUCCGAGGCACACACAGCUUGGAUGUGCUGCAGCACAAAAGCAUUUAACAUCUCCCACAUAGCAGGCACAGCUGGCACUUGAGAUAACAAGUCCAAGGAUGAAAGUGGUGGUGGAACAACCCACAGACCCUCUGUCCUUCCCACACAGCAGUCACACUGGGGGAUCAAUGCUGCCCCAUUGCCACUUGCUCUACUGGGUGUUGGAGGAGGAAGAAUUAAAACCUUUUCUGGGGAGUCUUUGCUCUGGGGAGCCACAUAACAGUAGUGAGAAAGACUUGAGAGCAGUUCCUGUUUCCUAAUGCACUUCGAAGAAUGAACAAAUCUUGUAAACCAUAA
rnacentral:lncRNA from 1 species